GUCAGCAAGGCUCAGUGACUGUUAAAAAUUGUUAAAAACGUGACGUUUUAAACAAGGACCUUUUAAGUGUUUGGGCGGGUAAGUUGACGUACACCC